UUCUGUAAGCCUGUGAAGGUGUGUCGUGAGGCAUGCUGGAGGUAUCAGAAGUGCGAAUGCUGACAUAAGUAACGAUAAAGCGGGUGAAAAGCCCGCUCGCCGGAAGACCAAGGGUUCCUGUCCAACGUUAAUCGGGGCAGGGUGAGUCGACCCCUAAGGCGAGGCCGAAAGGCGUAGUCGAUGGGAAACGGGUUAAUAUUCCCGUACUUGGUGUUACUGCGAAGGGGGGACGGAGAAGGCUAUGUUGGCCGGGCGACGGUUGUCCCGGUUUAAGCGUGUAGGUGUGUGUUCCAGGUAAAUCCGGUUCACUUUAACACUGAGGCGUGAUGACGAGGCACUACGGUGCUGAAGCAACAAAUGCCCUGCUUCCAGGAAAAGCCUCUAAGCAUCAGGUAACAUCAAAUCGUACCCCAAACCGACACAGGUGGUCAGGUAGAGAAUACCAAGGCGCUUGAGAGAACUCGGGUGAAGGAACUAGGCAAAAUGGUGCCGUAACUUCGGGAGAAGGCACGCUGACACGUAGGUGAAGUGAUUUACUCAUGGAGCUGAAGUCAGUCGAAGAUACCAGCUGGCUGCAACUGUUUAUUAAAAACACAGCACUGUGCAAACACGAAAGUGGACGUAUACGGUGUGACGCCUGCCCGGUGCCGGAAGGUUAAUUGAUGGGGUCAGCGCAAGCGAAGCUCCUGAUCGAAGCCCCGGUAAACGGCGGCCGUAACUAUAACGGUCCUAAGGUAGCGAAAUUCCUUGUCGGGUAAGUUCCGACCUGCACGAAUGGCGUAAUGAUGGCCAGGCUGUCUCCACCCGAGACUCAGUGAAAUUGAACUCGCUGUGAAGAUGCAGUGUACCCGCGGCAAGACGGAAAGACCCCGUGAACCUUUACUAUAGCUUGACACUGAACAUUGAGCCUUGAUGUGUAGGAUAGGUGGGAGGCUUUGAAGCGUGGACGCCAGUCUGCGUGGAGCCGACCUUGAAAUACCACCCUUUAAUGUUUGAUGUUCUAACGUGGACCCGUGAUCCGGGUUGCGGACAGUGUCUGGUGGGUAGUUUGACUGGGGCGGUCUCCUCC
rnacentral:rRNA from 1 species